rnacentral:rRNA from 1 species
UCGAGGGGCAGCAUGGUCUUAGCUUGCUAAGGCCGAUGGCGACCGGCGCACGGGUGAGUAACACGUAUCCAACCUGCCGUCUACUCUUGGACAGCCUUCUGAAAGGAAGAUUAAUACAAGAUGGCAUCAUGAGUUCACAUGUUCACAUGAUUAAAGGUAUUCCGGUAGACGAUGGGGAUGCGUUCCAUUAGAUAGUAGGCGGGGUAACGGCCCACCUAGUCUUCGAUGGAUAGGGGUUCUGAGAGGAAGGUCCCCCACAUUGGAACUGAGACACGGUCCAAACUCCUACGGGAGGCAGCAGUGAGGAAUAUUGGUCAAUGGGCGAGAGCCUGAGCCAGCCAAGUAGCGUGAAGGAUGACUGCCCUAUGGGUUGUAAACUUCUUUUAUAAAGGAAUAAAGUCGGGUAUGCAUACCCGUUUGCAUGUACUUUAUGAAUAAGGAUCGGCUAACUCCGUGCCAGCAGCCGCGGUAAUACGGAGGAUCCGAGCGUUAUCCGGAUUUAUUGGGUUUAAAGGGAGCGUAGAUGGAUGUUUAAGUCAGUUGUGAAAGUUUGCGGCUCAACCGUAAAAUUGCAGUUGAUACUGGAUAUCUUGAGUGCAGUUGAGGCAGGCGGAAUUCGUGGUGUAGCGGUGAAAUGCUUAGAUAUCACGAAGAACUCCGAUUGCGAAGGCAGCCUGCUAAGCU